rnacentral:lncRNA from 1 species
GUAAAAUGACUGGAUAGUGGCAAAAAAAUUCCCUUGCAGUAGAGGUCACUUAUCCUACAAUUCAAUACUAAAUUCAUCUUACACAUUCAUCACAUAUUCACAUUUCUAUACAUCCUACACAUUCAUCUACACCAUCCACUUCCUACACCAUCUUCCUAUACAUCCUACACAUUCAUCCAUCACAUCCUACACCUAUUUAUCUACUACACCAUCCACUUGCUACACCAUCUUCCUAUAUACAUCCUACACAUUACAUACACCAUCUACAUCCUACACAUUCAUCUUCACCAUCCACAUCCUACACAUUCAUCUACACCAUCCACUUCCUACACAUUCAUCUACAUGCACCAUCCACAUCCUACACAUUUAUCUCAUCUAUACAAGCAUACGUUACACAUACACACAUCUUACAAGCAUCCAUCACAUAUCCCCUAUACAAAUCAUUAUUACCCCGUCUAGCAACUUCAAAUUUAGAUUUCUCUGUUCCGUAACAUUCUCCCUCCGUGACUCCAUCAUCAUUACUCCGUCUAGCGCCUUCAAAGAUCAAAGGAUAUGAAUGUGACGGAUCAGAUCAUUUUCCCUUUUUAAGCCUUUACGUUAACUCCAUUUGAUUUUGUGUUCUUCAUAAACAUCUGCAAAAUCAGAUUAAUGAUCCGUUACAAUCCAUUUCUGAAAACAUCAUGCAAGUUCCGUACUUAACCAAAAAGUUCAAAAGCAUUUAUCCCGAAACUAAGUAAACACAUUUAAGACAUGCAUAUUAAGAUAACAGAACAAAGAAUGUUAAUUUUUUUUCUAUGUACAUUUUAAGAAAAUCGUUUUGAAUGAUACUUUUUAACCCAUGUUUUUCUUUUCUUAGAACGAGACAGAGUAUGACAAAAACGAAUAUUGAACACGACAAAUAAAAUCAAUGAUUGUUUACUUUACUUAAUUUUCAAAACAAAAUUUUAUGAGUAAUCUACCAAAUCAACGAACGACGAGAGAUCUAAAACUUCAAAAAACAGAGCCUCAGUUUCAGAUUUCAUUUUAUUAACUUCUUUACCAUCACAUGCAAAUUAUUGAAAACAACAACAAUUUUAAUCCCCAUCUUAUCAGUAUUUUGUGACCUAUCUCAAAAUUUUUUUCUUAAAACUUCAUAAAAAAGAUAUGCAAGAUGUCGGAAACAUUGUAGUUUAAGCAAAAGUAAUCAAAAGAAUCAGACCAAGAAGCGUUACCUUGUAGGCUUGUAGGGUAAUGUCUUUGAGUAGCUUGUGGACUGAAAACAUAGGAGAGAAGCUUGAGUGUAGUAGAACAGAUCAAAAGAAUUAAAACAGAGAGUAUUUGGACAUGUGAACAAAUGAGUUUCAUAGUAAGUAAGAAGAUUUUUUUAUGUC